CAGGCGGGGUAUCAGAGCAAGAUCAUGUUUAAAAAAACAAAACAAAAAAGAAUCUCAAGACGACGACAACAGAGCAUCAAAACAAGCGCGGGGUCCCUUGAAGCACAGGGCAGGCCUGUGAAGUUAGCCCUGGUGGGAGGUCUGGGUUCAGGGGUUGGGAGAAAGAGAGUGUUUCAGUUCAGAGGGAACAGCCAGUGCAAAGCCCCAGAACGAGAACACAAUUGUGAGAACUUUGGGAUGCUAUGGGCACCACAGGAAGGAGAAGGCCCCUUGAAGACUGCUUCAGAAAGAGCUUCCUCCCAAACCACAGACUUGACACGAGCAUUUUCCAUCCGUGCCCUGCCAGUCUCUCAGCUACUGGCCUGGCAGGAAGAGGCGAAUAUAGGAGGUGGCCUUCCAGGGCAGAGCAGCAGUGAAGUGACUGCCGAAGGAAACUGCAGAGGGCAGAAGCAGAUCCACAAAUACAAGUCACUUCUUCACUGUGGCUUCCACGUGAGUCAGAACCCUCGAAUAGAUACCCCUGGCCUCUUCUCCCAGGCCUUAGUUGUUUGUCUUGGAAAUGGGGCAAGGAUUGGAUCCUGUCUGGACUAGCUUAAACCUCUAGCCCCUGCUUCCAUUUUGCAGAAACAGGACCUCAAACGGUAAGAAGGGGCCGGGCGCGGUGGCUCAAGC